rnacentral:rRNA from 1 species
UGGGGAAUUUUGCACAAUGGGGGAAACCCUGAUGCAGCGACGCCGCGUGAUUUAGAAGGCCUUCGGGUUGUAAAAAUCUUUUCUAUGGGAAGAAAAUGACAGUACCAUAGGAAUAAGGACCGGCUAAUUACGUGCCAGCAGCCGCGGUAAUACGUAAGGUCCGAGCGUUGUCCGGAAUCAUUGGGCGUAAAGGGUACGUAGGCGGGUAAGCAAGUUAGAAGUGAAAUCCUAUAGCUCAACUAUAGUAAGCUUUUAAAACUGCUCAUCUGGAGGUAUGGAAGGGAAAGUGGAAUUCCUAGUGUAGCGGUGAAAUGCGCAGAUAUUAGGAGGAAUACCGGUGGCGAAGGCGACUUUCUGGCCAUAACCUCACGCUGAGGUACGAAAGCGUGGGUAGCAAACAGG